GAAAUAAAAGCCGGGAAGAAAAGGGUUUGUUCUAAUUCAGUGAACUGACUGUAAGGACGGAAUGCGGAUGUUAGAGGAGCAGAGUCUGGACAAGGAAAAAGAUCAAGGACACAGGGGAACAGGAAGCCACAAUGCCACUAACAAGGAUCUGAGCAGCAAACCAGGAUAACUGGUCUGUACUGUUUAAGACUUCGCGGGCAUGAAGAACAGAGGGC
rnacentral:lncRNA from 1 species